AUUGAACGCUGGCGGCAGGCCUAACACAUGCAAGUCGGUCGAGCGGCGGACGGGUGAGUAAUGUAUGGGGACUGCCCGAUAGAGGGGGAUAACUACUGGAAACGGUCGCUACUACCGCAUACUAUCGGAUAACCCAUAUGGGAUUAGCUAGUAGGUGAGGUAAUGGCUCACCUAGGCGACGAUCCCUAGCUGGUCUGAGAGGAUGAUCAGCCACACUUGGUCUGUGACACGGCCCAGACUCCUACGGAGGCAGCAGUGGGGAAGAUGGCACAAUGGGCGCAAGCCUGAUGCAGCCCUGCCGGGUGUAUGAAGAAGGCCCUAGUGUUUUAAAGUACCUUCAGUCGGGAGGCGUUACCGACAGAAGAAGCACCGGCUAACUCCUUGCCAGCAGCCGCGGUAAUAC
rnacentral:rRNA from 1 species